UUACAUACUUUUAAUAUACAAAUACAAACACACAUGUGAACGAGUGUAAUACCAAAGUCGAACUACCCUACUCUGACAUUUGAGAAUAGUAUAUAUAAUAUCAACCUGUCCUAAGGACAUUUUAUAAUGUAUAUAAAUACAUGCGUUUUAGAGUUACAUAUAUAAAUCAUCUUGACAUAAGCUAGUCCGCAUGCAUCCUGAACUAUAAUACUCAUAAAUCAUGUCAUGUUCCAUAGUGCACAUUAUGAAAUAAAAACCUUAAUAUAUGUAUAUACAUGUUGACUUGUCAUUCGUUUUGAAUAUAGCAUGUAUGACUAAUUAGCCUGUGCAACCAGCUAUACGACAAUUCCUCCAUUACUUAUAUAAAAAAAAUAUUUAAAAAAAAAAAAGUUUUAAACAAGGUUACUAUCAAAUAUUUCAAACUCGUAACAAAUUAAAAAAAAAUCUAAAAUCAACUUGACGUCUGUUUUACCCCUAAGGUAAGGAUGUUUUACAUCAACCUUUUGUUACUUUAUUCUUAAAGAAAAAUCGCCGAAGGUAAUAUCCGGUCAGAGAUGUCCGGUCAGAGAUGUUAUCUAAUGACUUUUUAUUAGUUUACUUUUAAAAGAAAAAAUCACCUUAAGUCAUAUAAUCGCUGAUUGGUCAAUUGUAUAUCGUGCGUAACCUUUUUGUUUUAAUUCAUUUUAAUAGAAAAAUUUGGAUAGAUACAAUGUAGCACAGGUACUUGCUGACAUCAGUAUGGCUUGGUCUUCGUGACGUGUCGGGAAUUUCAAAUCGUUGAUAUAUGAACAACAAGACAACUGUCAUAAAAUGCAUAGGAUAAGAAUUCCAAUGAAAGAUGUUCUCUAGUGUACUUCGUUGUGUCCCGCUGUCCAAAAUCGUCGCUUCGACAUCGCUGGUCUUAGGCGCCAAAUCAACCGUUGUCGUAUAACGUAGAAAGAACUCACGGAUGUUACAUACUUUUAAUAUACAAAUACAAACACACAUGUGAACGAGUGUAAUACCAAAGUCGAACUACCCUACUCUGACAUUUGAGAAUAGUAUAUAUAAUAUCAACCUGUCCUAAGGACAUUUUAUAAUGUAUAUAAAUACACGCAUUUUAGAGUUACAUAUAUAAAUCAUCUUGACAUAAGCUAGUCCGCAUGCAUCCUGAACUAUAAUACUCAUAAAUCAUGUCAUGUUCCAUAGUGCACAUUAUGAAAUAAAAACCUUAAUAUAUGUAUAUACAUGUUGACUUGUCAUUCGUUUUGAAUAUA